GAGUUUGAUCAUGGCUCAGAUUGAACGCUGGCGGCAGGCCUAACACAUGCAAGUCGAGCGGAUGACGGGAGCUUGCUCCUUGAUUCAGCGGCGGACGGGUGAGUAAUGCCUAGGAAUCUGCCUGGUAGUGGGGGACAACGUUUCGAAAGGAACGCUAAUACCGCAUACGUCCUACGGGAGAAAGCAGGGGACCUUCGGGCCUUGCGCUAUCAGAUGAGCCUAGGUCGGAUUAGCUAGUUGGUGGGGUAAUGGCUCACCAAGGCGACGAUCCGUAACUGGUCUGAGAGGAUGAUCAGUCACACUGGAACUGAGACACGGUCCAGACUCCUACGGGAGGCAGCAGUGGGGAAUAUUGGACAAUGGGCGAAAGCCUGAUCCAGCCAUGCCGCGUGUGUGAAGAAGGUCUUCGGAUUGUAAAGCACUUUAAGUUGGGAGGAAGGGCAGUAAGUUAAUACCUUGCUGUUUUGACGUUACCGACAGAAUAAGCACCGGCUAACUCUGU
rnacentral:rRNA from 1 species